rnacentral:rRNA from 1 species
UACGAAGGGGGCUAGCGUUGUUCGGAAUUACUGGGCGUAAAGCGCACGUAGGCGGACUAUUAAGUCAGGGGUGAAAUCCCGGGGCUCAACCCCGGAACUGCCUUUGAUACUGGUAGUCUCGAGUCCGGAAGAGGUGAGUGGAAUUCCGAGUGUAGAGGUGAAAUUCGUAGAUAUUCGGAGGAACACCAGUGGCGAAGGCGGCUCACUGGUCCGGUACUGACGCUGAGGUGCGAAGGCCAGGGGAGCAAACGGG